GCUUGAGUAGCAGAACAGGAAAAUGCAAAAGACCUAAGCCCUUUUACCAGAGGUUCGAACCCUCUCUUCAGCU
rnacentral:tRNA from 1 species